rnacentral:rRNA from 1 species
UGGGGAAUUUUGGACAAUGGGCGAAAGCCUGAUCCAGCAAUGCCGCGUGUGUGAAGAAGGCCUUCGGGUUGUAAAGCACUUUUGUCCGGAAAGAAAUCCUUGGCUCUAAUACAGUCGGGGGAUGACGGUACCGGAAGAAUAAGCACCGGCUAACUACGUGCCAGCAGCCGCGGUAAUACGUAGGGUGCAAGCGUUAAUCGGAAUUACUGGGCGUAAAGCGUGCGCAGGCGGUUUGCUAAGACCGAUGUGAAAUCCCCGGGCUCAACCUGGGAACUGCAUUGGUGACUGGCAGGCUAGAGUAUGGCAGAGGGGGGUAGAAUUCCACGUGUAGCAGUGAAAUGCGUAGAGAUGUGGAGGAAUACCGAUGGCGAAGGCAGCCCCCUGGGCCAAUACUGACGCUCAUGCACGAAAGCGUGGGGAGCAAACAGGAUUAGAUACCCUGGUAGUCCACGCCCUAAACGAUGUCAACUAGUUGUUGGGGAUUCAUUUCCUUAGUAACGUAGCUAACGCGUGAAGUUGACCGCCUGGGGAGUACGGUCGCAAGAUUAAAACUCAAAGGAAUUGACGGGGUCAUAGCUGUUUCCUU